AAACGGAAAAGGAAAACUAGUAAGGAAAAUUAAAAAAAUAACUCGAAAACAAUAAAAUGUAAUUUUAAAGGCCUAAACGAUAGAAUUUGACCAAAAAACACUGCAGUUCACGAGCAAAGCGCUUGUGACUUUUGACCGUUGACCGGUUUCCAAUGAAAUUAGGCUCCGAAAACGAAAAAAAAAAACGACACUCCAAACUUGACAGAAAUUACCAAAUUGCCACUGGAUCAAAUCUUUCCAUAAACUAGAUCGAAUCUAUCAAAUCCUUCCAUAAACUGACACGCUUGCUCUUCAACCGCAUCAGUGAC
rnacentral:lncRNA from 1 species